rnacentral:rRNA from 1 species
UGGGGAAUAUUGCACAAUGGAGGGAACUCUGAUGCAGCAACGCCGCGUGCGGGAUGACGGCCUUCGGGUUGUAAACCGCUUUCAGCCAUGACGAAGCUUUUGUGACGGUAGUGGUAGAAGAAGCACCGGCUAACUACGUGCCAGCAGCCGCGGUGAUACGUAGGGUGCGAGCGUUGUCCGGAAUUAUUGGGCGUAAAGAGCUUGUAGGCGGUUUGUCGCGUCGGUAGUGUAAACACGCAGCUUAACUGUGUGCCUGCUGUCGAUACGGGGUGGCUAGAGGAGGGUAGGGGGGAAUGGAAUUCCCGGUGGAGCGGUGGAAUGCGCAGAUAUCGGGAGGAACACCAGUGGCGAAGGCGGUUCUCUGGACCUUUCCUGACGCUGAUAAGCGAAAGCGUGGGUAGCAAACAGG